rnacentral:rRNA from 1 species
GGUUCCUACGGGGGGCAGCAGUAGGGAAUCUUCCACAAUGGACGAAAGUCUGAUGGAGCAACGCCGCGUGAGUGAAGAAGGGUUUCGGCUCGUAAAGCUCUGUUGGGAGUGAAGAAAGAUAGAGGUAGUAACUGGCCUUUAUUUGACGGUAAUUACUUAGAAAGUCACGGCUAACUACGUGCCAGCAGCCGCGGUAAUACGUAGGUGGCAAUCGUUGUCCGGAUUUACUGGGUGUAAAGGGCGCGGAGGCGGGUGUGCAAGUCAGUCG